rnacentral:misc_RNA from 1 species
UCUCCGUAGGUGAACCUGCGGAGGGAUCAUUACAGAGUUCAUGCCCUACCGGGUAGAUGUCCCACCCUAUGUUAUUAUUACUUUGUUGCUUUGGCGGGCCGUUAGGCUCCGGCCCGACUACCGGCCCCGGCUGGUAAGCGCCCGCCAGAGGACCCAAAACCCUGAAUAUUAGUGUCGUCUGAGUACUAUAUAAUAGUUAAAACUUUCAACAACGGAUCUCUUGGUUCUG